rnacentral:ncRNA from 1 species
UUCAUGGCAAUGAUGAGGAGAGUAAAUAUAUAGGACUUUUACAGAGAGCUCUGGUAGCUGAAAAAGAGCAAAGAAGUAUAUAUUGAAACAAGCCUCUGAGCUCCAUACCAAAGCUUUAUUAAAAAUAAAGGGGAGGCUAUGGCGUUUGCUCACGUUACAGAGCUAGGGUAUUAACAUUUUGCAGUACCUGAAGAGGUUAAUAUGGCAACAUAUUAAUAAACUGGGGUGGUACCACGAAGUCAAUAUCUCUCGUCCCCAAG